CCAAAAGUGGCAGCUGGUAUCCUCCAGGGAAAACAUCCAAUGGGUGAAUAUGAAGAGCAAUAAGCCUUGGAAGAGGCUGGAGCACCAGGAAUUGAUGCCCGGCGGAGACAGCAGUCCCGGAUCCCAGUCCAAGUGUAAUAAGUGGCCCCACCAAGAGGGAACCAAGUGCCAGUGAUCUGUUGGAUGAUGAGAAAAACGCGACUAGCGGCAAUCUAACUUGAACAAGGAAAAAUGCGCCGCUACCAGAUGGAGUGGUGAGAGGUGUGAGGUGUGAGAGGAAAAUGGAAAGUGCGUUUCUGUUGCGUGCCAGGAGGAAUGUUGUCAACACGCAAGAACGGGUGAUCGUAGCAUACACGCAUCAGGAUGAUAAAUCUCAGAUUCAGGUUGCAUGUGUCGGACAAAGCUAUGCGAUGUGGAACAUUUGAAAACAUCUUUACCGGUAGAAAUCGUCAAUGCUCUAGAUCGCAUCCGAAAAUUCACCGGUUUGCAGUGUAUCAGGAUUUCAUAUAUGUUUUAAGAAAGUCUGGUGUUGGAGCAGUUUUCGGUCGAUUGAACCAGUCACCACCUGCGCAUUUAUUAGCGACAACGAAAACAUCUAUACGGAAUCUAUCAACGCAACUUGGUCCCCAACCCAUAUUAGAUGUUCAUAGUAAGUAUUAGUGUGUUGCAUAACUAAAGGCAACUAAGAUUACGCUAGCAAAUUUUAUCGGCAAAAUGAGAAGAUAUUUAGCUAUCACGCCUUGACAGCUAGAUUUGCUUUAAUUUUGGUUGACUAAAGGUGAUA